rnacentral:rRNA from 1 species
CAGUCGCCGCGGGAAUACGGAGGGGGCUAGCGUUGUUCGGAAAUACUGGGCGUAAAGCGCACGUAGGCGGCUUUGUAAGUUAGAGGUGAAAGCCCGGAGCUCAACUCCGGAAUUGCCUUUAAGACUGCAGAGCUAGCAGGUGAGAGAGGUGAGUGGAAUUCCGAGUGUAGAGGUGAAAUUCGUAGAUAUUCGGAAGAACACCAGUGGCGAAGGCGGCUCACUGGCUCAUACUGGACGCUGAGGUGCGAAAGCGUGGGGAGCAAACAGGAUUAGAUACCCCCGUAGUCCCUGUCUCUUAUAC